CCUACGGGUGGCAGCAGUAGGGAAUUUUGCGCAAUGGGCGAAAGCCUGACGCAGCAACGCCGCGUGAUUGAUUAAGCCCUUCGGGGUGUUAAGAUCUUUCAGUGGGGACGUAACUUGACGGUACCCACAGAGGUAGCACCGGCUAACUCCGUGCCAGCAGCCGCGGUAAUACGGAGGGUGCAAGCGUUGUCCGGAAUCAUUGGGCUUAAAGGGUUCGUAGGUGGCAUAUUAAGUCUGGUGUUAAAUGCAGAGGCUCAACUGCUGUACGGCACUUGAUCCUGGUAAGCUUGAAUGCGGUAGAGGUAGAGGGAAUGCCUGGUGUAGCGGUGAAAUGCGUAGAUAUCAGGAAGAACAUCGAUGGCGUAAGCGCUUUACUGGGCCGUAAUUGACACUGAGGAACGAAAGCCGGGGUAGCAAAUGGGAUUAGAUACCCCUGUAGUC
rnacentral:rRNA from 1 species